AACGAACGCUGGCGGCAGGCUUAACACAUGCAAGUCGAACGGGUGCAGCAAUGCAUCAGUGGCAGACGGGUGAGUAACACGUGGGAACCUUCCUAGGGGUACGGAACAACUCAGGGAAACUUGAGCUAAUACCGUAUACGUCCGUGAGGAGAAAGAUUUAUCGCCCUUAGACGGGCCCGCGUCGGAUUAGCUAGUUGGUGGGGUAACGGCCUACCAAGGCGACGAUCCGUAGCUGAUCUUAGAGGAUGAUCAGCCACACUGGGACUGAGACACGGCCCAGAAUCCUACGGGAGGCAGCAGUGGGGAAUCUUGGACAAUGGGCGCAAGCCUGAUCCAGCCAUGCCGCGUGAGUGAAGAAGGUCUUCGGAUUGUAAAGCUCUUUUGCCAGGGACGAUAAUGACGGUACCUGGAGAAUAAGCCCCGGCAAACUUCGUGCCAGCCGCCGCCGUAACAC
rnacentral:rRNA from 1 species